GUGUUAUUGACCACCGGAUGAAGGAUUGCCGAAAGAAUAAUUUUCUUUUCGUUUGUUUAAAUUAAUAAAUAAAUAAAAAAGUUUAUUUUCCUUAGACAGACGAUAAGACCCUAAAACCUUUAAUGAGAACUUAAACCUCUUUUGCUGGGGCGGCAAAUUAUAACUUCACGAUUUACAAAAACACAAUGAAUGAAUAUUCAAAUAACUUAAAUUAAAUCCAAAAAGGUACUUUAGGGAUAACAGCAUAAUUUUUAUCUAGAGUUACUUAUCAACAUAAAAGAUUAUGACCUCGAUGUUGAAUUGAUGAAACUCUACUAAGCAGCUAUAGUAAUAUGUAGGUCUGUUCGACCUUUAAAUCAUCACAUGAUCUGAGUUCAAACCGGA
rnacentral:rRNA from 1 species